rnacentral:tRNA from 1 species
CCUUCGAUAGCUCAGUUGGUGGAGCAGAGGACUGUGGAUGUUUAGGUCGCUGGUUCGAAUCCGGCUCGAACGA